CACGUAGGGGCAAGCGUUGUCCGGAUUUAUUGGGCGUAAAGAGCUCGUAGGCGGCUCAGUAAGUCAGGUGUGAAACCUCCAGGCUCAACCUGGAGACGCCACCUGAUACUGCUGUGGCUAGAGUCCGGUAGGGGAGCGUGGAAUUCCCGGUGUAGUGGUGAAAUGCGUAGAUAUCGGGAGGAACACCAGUGGCGAAGGCGACUUCCUGGCCUGUUCUUGACGCUGGAGGCGCGAAAGCUAGGGGAGCAAACGGG
rnacentral:rRNA from 1 species